rnacentral:rRNA from 1 species
AUUGAACGCUGGCGGCAUGCCUUACACAUGCAAGUCGAACGGCAGCACGGGAGCAAUCCUGGUGGCGAGUGGCGAACGGGUGAGUAAAGCAUCGGAACGUGCCCAGUCGUGGGGGAUAACGUAGCGAAAGCUACGCUAAUACCGCAUACGAUCUGUGGAUGAAAGCGGGGGACCGUAAGGCCUCGCGCGAUUGGAGCGGCCGAUGUCAGAUUAGGUAGUUGGUGAGGUAAAGGCUCACCAAGCCGACGAUCUGUAGCUGGUCUGAGAGGACGACCAGCCACACUGGGACUGAAACACGGCCCAGACUCCUACGGGAGGCAGCAGUGGGGAAUUUUGGACAAUGGGCGCAAGCCUGAUUCAGCAAUGCCGCGUGCAGGAUGAAGGCCUUCGGGUUGUAAACUGCUUUUGUACGGAGCGAAACGGCUUCCACUAAUACUGGGGGCUAAUGACGGUACCGUAAGAAUAAGCACCGGCUAACUACGUGCCAGCCGCCGCCGUAACAC